rnacentral:rRNA from 1 species
UACGGGGGGGGCAAGCGUUGUUCGGAAUUACUGGGCGUAAAGGGCUCGUAGGUGGCCAACUAAGUCGGACGUGAAAUCCCCGGGCUCAACCCGGGAACUGCGUCCGAGACUGGAAGGCUUGAAUCCGGGAGAGGGAUGUGGAAUUCCAGGUGUAGCGGUGAAAUGCGUAGAUAUCAGGAGGAACACCGGUGGCGAAGGCGGGUCUCUGGGCCGAAACUGACGCUGAGGAGCGAAAGCGUGGGGAGCAAACAGG